rnacentral:rRNA from 1 species
CCUACGGGGGGCAGCAGUGGGGAAUAUUGCACAAUGGGGGAAACCCUGAUGCAGCAACGCCGCGUGAGCGAUGAAGGCCGUCGGGUCGUAAAGCUCUGUCCUAAGGGAAGAAUACUGACGGUACCUUAGGAGGAAGCUCCGGUUAACUACGUGCCAGCAGCCGGGGUAAUACGCUGGGGGUUAGCAUUAUCCGGAAUUACUGGGCGUAAAGGGGGUGUAGGCGGCCCUUCAAUUCAGAGGUGAAAGGCUACGGCUCAACCGUGGUAAGGCUUUGAAGCUGUAGGGGUUGAGUGCAGGAGAGGAGAGUGGAAUUCCCAUUGUAGGGGUGAAAUGCGUAGAAAUUGGGAAGAACACCAGUAGCGUGGGCGGCUCUCUGGACUGUAACUGACGCCGAGGCACGAAAGCGGGGGGAGCAAACAGGAUGAGAUACACGAGUAGAC